GAUGGUGCCUGUGGUGAAAGCCGGCGAGGAGGGGGAUGGGCGCUUCGGUGAGCGUAAGGACCCGACACAGAACCGGAGCCCCGUAUCACAUACAGCAGUGUAUACCCCAUAAUAAACAGCAACUGUAAAUAUACAAGACACUAACAUUAUUGGAAUUGUUCACCGGGGAUUUAUAAAAGACACCAAUGGAUGUAGCGCACCCGAACAAGACAGGGGAUUUAACUUUCCGACAUUUUUUGGGAGACACUGAGAACUUUGUUUCUUACCCUUGAAGAGGGACCUACUUGUAAGGGCAAAGGAUACAGGAGACUCCGAGGCGGAUAUCCAGGCCUAGUGGUCUAAUUGGAAUUAAUGUUGGGAUACUCCAAGGACUUCCAUAGUACAUUAUCGUUGCCUUGUUUUUAAGGAAUUUGGAAUGACUCUUUAGGUCCCCCAUGACCGUGAGCCGUGGGCUGCGGCUCGACGGCGCCCCCCUUCUGGAGUGGUCCGUUGCUAUAAGUUAAACCUUGUGAAUCCUUUUCUCAUCCUCCUUCCCCCCAUCCCAUCCUGUCUCCCCUCUUCCCCUUUUCACCCCCUCCUUCCCCCUCGUCCCCCCAUUUCCACGCGUCGCUGUGCUGGACGUCAUGAGCAUAGUAAUCACUCUGGGAGUCACCACACCUGAAACGUCUUACUCGGAUAUGGCUGCUGGAUCAGACCCUGAGUCAGUUGAAGCAAGCCCUGCAGUGAAUGAGAAGAACUACAACAACCACAGCUGUGGUAGUGCACAGAAUCAUGGGUAUCGGGGACUCCCAUAUGCUAUGCAACAGUCUUCCGUUGUAUGUUGUCAGGAUCACAACUAUGGCGCGCCCCCUCCCCCUACCCCACCCGCCUCUCCACUUUCCCAAACCAUCAUUCCCCGCAUGGACCUCAACGGCAUGGUCCGCAGCUCCCAUUACCACGAACCCCGGGCCGAGCACUCCGCCGACAGCGACAGCUCCUCCGAGGAGGACGCGGCCGUGAGCGGCUGGUGCCGCUGCAGCCCCACACCAGACGGGGCACACCUCAAAUGCACCUGCAGGGAGCUGGACAGGAGGAAAGGAGUAGAGGGCGCCCACAGAAAGCAAGAGAAUGUUUCAGCUGGAGAAAGCAGUGCGACAGAAAGUGGUGAUGAAGAGGUUUCUCCCUCCACCGUCUCCUACACGGCUACCCAGCACACCCCUACCAGCAUCAAACUGACCGUCAACCGGGUCAAGAGGAGCAAAUCCAAGAAAAGGAAGAAGAGCACGGAGCGAGGCCGCGGAACACCCAAGCCAAAGAAAGUCAAGGCUUUCAGACAGGGUUCAAGGAAAUCCAUGAGGAUGAAGAACUCCACCUCCGAGGCCAGCGUGCUGGACGAGAACACGGCCGAGGGCUGGGAGAGCCGCAUCCGCCAGUGGACGGACCAGUACGAGGAGGCCCUCUCCAACCAGUACAGCGCCGACAUCCAGACGCUGCUAGAGCUGCACCGCUCCGCCUGCGCCUCCGUCUCCAAGGCCGAGAGCGGCGCCUCCACACCGCCCUCCGACACGCAGGCGUGCGUAAACGGCCUGGACACCAUCAACCGCACGGAGCUGGCCUGCAACAACACGGUGCUGGGCUCCCAGAUGCAGCUCCAGCUGGGGCGGGUCACUCGGGUCCAGAAGCACAGGAAGAUCCUGCGCGCGGCUAGGAACCUGGAAACGGACACGCUCAUCAUUGAGUACCGGGGGAAGGUCAUGCUCCGACAGCAGUUUGAAGUCAACGGGCAUUUCUUUAAAAAGCCUUACCCCUUCGUCUUGUUCUACUCCAAAUUCAACGACGUGGAGAUGUGCGUUGACGCGAGGACGUUCGGAAACGAUGCGCGCUUCAUCAGGAGGUCCUGCACCCCGAACGCUGAGGUCCGACACAUGAUCGCCGAUGGGAUGAUCCACCUGUGCAUUUACGCCGUCAGCCAGAUCGCUAAGGACGCCGAGGUCACCAUUGGCUUUGACUACGAGUUCAGCAGCUGCAACUAUAAGGUGGACUGCGCCUGCCAUAAAGGCAACCAGAACUGCCCCGUGCAGAAGCACAACCUGAGCCCGAUGGAGAGCUUCCUGAACCCGACUGCUCUCGCUCUUCCCUCUCCCGCUGUUGGCACGGAGACGCGGCGCAGGAAAGCCCAAAGAAAAGAGCUGGAGAGCUGCCUGGCCAGCAACGGCACGCUGACUCCGGACCAGCAGCCAGAGGGCAGGGACCUGCAGGGAGUCAGCGACACCGAGGAGAGAACGCUGACUGAGGUCAAAGCAGAAGACGGAGAAAUGGAUGAAAAUGGGAUCGGCUGUAGUAAAAGAGUUCCAACCAGGCGAAGAGUGACAGGAGCUGAAGUUAAGGACGAGGCGGUGGACACUGAGGACAGGACGGGAAACCCUCCAGAGACGCCUUCUGUCCCACACAGCUCUGGAGUGGGAGUCAGCACACGCCGGACCACCUACUUCACAGAGAACCCUCCUGGUGAGGACAAGCCACCAGCAGUAACCCUCCCCGCCCUGCCCGCGCCCCCUAAACCCACCAGGCCCGCCAAGCCCCGACCCAAGAGCCGGAUUUCUCGCUACCGUUCCAGCUCGUCGCAGCGCGCUCGGCGCCAGCGCCAAGCCCUGGCCCAGCAGCAGGCGGCGGCGGCAGCGGCAGCAGCCGCUGCAGCAGCAUCGAUGUCCUCGGCGCAGGCGGUGGCUGACCAGGGGGCCGCUCUGCGCGAUGAAGGGUCUCAGUGCCAACAUGGGGCCGAACACGGCCAUGGAGACGGCGGUCAGGGAGCUCAUCCCCUGGAUGGAGACGCUCAGGGUCCCAACAGCAUACACAAAGGCAGUGUGCGCUACCCCAAGACAAAGAAGUACCUCGUCACAGAGUGGCUGAACGACAAAGUCCCUGGAGGGGAAAAGCUCCAGCAGGAGGUGCCUGUUGAGCGGCCCCUGCGGAUAACCACAGACCCCACAGUGUUGGCCACCACCCUCAACAUGCUGCCGGGCCUGUCCCACUCAUCACUCAUCUGCACAGCCCCCAGACACUACGUCCGAUUCGGCUCUCCGUUCACCCCCGAGAGGCGCCGACCCCGCCCGCUGCAGAUGGAUGGCACCUAUGGCUGCUACAAAAAGAGAUGGAUCAAACAGGUGGAGGAUGAGAGCUGUUCUAACAGUGUGGAGGACGGAACAGAGUCCACCUCCUCCCAACAGAGCACCAGCAGCCGCUCCACCCCCAACCCGCUCUGCAGCGAUGUCGCUGCACCGUUUAAAAAGCGGCAUCACAAGUACGCAGCCGAGACCACGCCAGCGUCCUCGGACCACCUGCUUCGCCCGCUCUCACCGAUCACGCCUCCACUUCCUGAAGACUCUCUCCACUCGCUGCUCCACCCGCCGUGUGGCUCUGUGCUGCCCAACGGCCUGGUCUACUCCCCGAUGCCCUCGCAACCCACAAGCCGCUGCAACACACCGCUUCAGUUCGAAGACAUAUCGUCCUCUGAGGCAUCGCCUGUACACCGGCCUGAGUCCAUCUCUCCAGAACCGUCUCUUCAGGCCGACUUUGACGCUUCUCGACCUCCAUUUCUGGACCUGUCCCUCCCGUCCAGCCUGGAGAGCCCCAGGGCCAUGACCUCUGACGACUUUCCCGGGGCCGCUUCAGGCCAAGAUUCCCUGAACCUGCCGGCAUGCUCUUCCUCGGACUCCAAAAGCAGGGAGAAGGCCUUCAGGACAGAGUUCAACCUCAUUUACACCUGCUCCCCCCUCAACGCAAACCUGGGGAAUCCGCUGAGCUCGGAGCGCCACCAUUCCCAGGUGGACGGCGCUUUCUCUCCCGCAGAUUCCUUCCACAGUUCGCUCAGUGGACAGGGCCUGGUCGGAGACGUGGGCUCCGGCUCGCUGUCUCCUUUUGGGGAGAGCCAUUACGGAGCGGCCUACCCAGACAGGAGCACUUCGCCUCACACCAGCAAUCCCCCGCAGAAAAAGAAGAGGGCCAACCAGCAUACCAUUAGUCUGCUGACAGGAAAGGCAGAAUACCAGCCUAUAGCUGUAAGAAGUGAAAACAAGCCAGUACAUAAUAUGCACUCUUCCUCUCCACCCCCCCAUGCUCUGACCACUUCGCCCUGCCCUUCCUCCAAACAUUCAGCUAUGAGCCUCCAGCUCCCCAACAACUUCAGAGUUCUCAAUCCAUCUCUGUCCAACCCAUCUACAUGUGGAGAGGUUCAUCCAUUGCCACCAGGCCAAUGGUUCAUGGAUUGUCAUAAUGGUGCCAGAGUGAAGCCGGUGUGUGCUUGCUCCCUAACAACUAUGGCUCUUUCUCAGCUGUAGCUACUGUAUCAAAUGGCAUCGCUGUGACAGAGUGGACAUGCGGCAUGAGCCCUGCCAGUGACGCUACCACUCGGUUCAAAUCAUCUCUGGUUGAAAUCAAACCAACCAGGAACAAUGUUGAGCCAAUGACGUCGUUCAGUCAUAGAUGGCUAAAUAUUCAGGAGGUUACGUUUUACCUCAGUAGAUCAUUUUCUUCCAAAAUUCUUUCUGCAGCAAGUCAUUUUGUAUCACCAGCUGUAACCUUCGAAGUUUAAAAUCAAUAUCAACCUCAUAUUUUAUCAGCUUAAAACCAGAAACUUCAAUGUGUGUUUUACUGGGAUUUUAUGAGACAGACUACAGCCAGUGUUAAGUGGGAUGAAAAAGAUACUUGAAUUCAACAAAAUUGUGUUGCAUUUAUAUUUGUGAUGUCAGUUGAUAUUAAAAAAUUAAAUCGGAUUAAUCGCUGUGCCUAAUUUUGCAAGCUUGAAAUAUAAAUAUGCAGACAAUUGUGAAGCCCCUCCUGUCACACUCCAACCAAUUAAAAUUCAAGCUUUUCUCUUUUUUUGCAGUAGACCUUGUUCAGGGGACAACUGACAGAUAAGUUGUCUUUUCUUUGCUAGUUUUUAGAUGCCUCACCCCUUUCUGAUAUCGCCCUGGGCCACUGCCCAUAAAUCCCACAUCAGAAACUGCCACUGUAUGCAUGUUGUCAAAAAAAACAACAUUUUUAUUGUCUCAAACUGAGCAGAUUGGCAGUUUUCCACGUUUUUAUAUUCAAGAAGGUUUAAAUGAGGUCAAUCUGUUUUACACAUUCAUUUCGAAAGCUUCCUCUCCAUUUAUUUCCUAUGGAUCGAGGCGGCAGUCGCUCGCCACUCCCGCACGAUGCUGUGAACUAGGUAACCACCCAAGGCUUUUAGGUCAAAAUAGGCAGUUUCGAUAGGUUCUAUAUCAACAUCCUAGAGCUCUGAUCAUCCAUCAUCUGGACAUGGAGAGAGAACAGAUCACCUGCAGAUAUGGACAUCCACCUGGACUGACAGGAGAACAUUAAUCAGAGCAGCAGCCAAGAGGUUUAUAUCUCUGGAUGAGUUGCAGAGAUCCACAGGCGUCGCAGCCAACACACAGAACAAUGCACAGAAGGCCAAAAUGCAAACAAAAGGUUGCGUAACUUAGAACUAGAUCUACACUGUCCACCCCAAAAACUUCCCAACGUGAGACAUGGCGAUGCUAGCAUCAUGCCGUGGGAAGCAUAUUUGUGUUAAGAGUCCAGAGCGAAAUCCAUUUAACAGGCAGACAGGAAGAGGGUUCCUCAUUUUGUUCAGCAACAAUCCAUCUUUUUCUGUGGCCUCAUUUAGGACGAAAACAUGAAAAAUGUAAAAAUUGUUGUUUACUCUUGAACCGCACUGGUGUUAGUUAGCCGCUUGUCUGUAUAAACUGUGUAAAGUCACUUAACACUGAAAACUGUUCAUGAACACAAACCCAGAGCAAUAAAUGCAUCACAUGGUGCCAUUAGGCCACUAGUGUCCCUGGCCUGCUCUAGAAUCACUGCCAACAAUAUCUGAGCACACAAAAGUAAAGGUUUGUACUGUAAAUGUAACAUCCAGUAGGAGCCACACCAGAGGAACUCAGCAGUCAGCAGGAGUAUCCAGGCUGUUUCCAGGAGCCUCCAACAGUCGGUCUAAACACACACAUUAGACAACAGGACCAACAAUGGCUGGUGUGAUAAGAAACAGUUUGGGCCACAUUACAGAGGACCCUAGAAUUGCCCGUAAUGCUGGCCCUACAGUGGGCUCUUCAGUUUGCCCUAGAGUUGGCCGUAGAGUGGACUCUAUAGAUGAUCUUACAGUGCGCUCUACAGUGGCCAAGAGUACAGAGUACAGUAAGCUCUACAGGAGGCUCUACCAUUGACCCUACAGUGGUCUAUGCAAUGGACCCUACAGUGGUCUAUACAAUGGACUCUACAGUGGGCCCUACAAUGGACUCUACAAUGGACUCUACAAUGGACCCUACAGUGGUCUAUACCAGUGUUUCCCAACCCUGGUCCUCAAGGCACACUGCCCUGCAUGUUUUAGGUAUUUCCUUGCUUCAGUCCAGCUGAUUUCAAUUGAUGACUGAUUAACAGGCGUUUGUUGAACUGCAAUCAGAUGAAUCAGACACAUUAAAGCAAGGAUACUUUUAAAACAUGUAGGACAGUGUGCCUUGAGGACCAGGGUUGGGAAACACUGGUCCUCAAGUGUUUCCCAAUACAAUACAAUGGUCCCUACAGUGGGCCCUACAGUUGGUUGUAUAGUGGGCCAUAGAGUGGACCAUGGAGCUUGCUAUACAGCAGGCUCCACAGUAGAGUGUUUCCUAGCAACCAGUCAGCCUCCGUGCCUGCAUGCCAAAUCCUAAAGGUGUCCCGACAUAUUUCAUCCGGACUGCCGAAAUCGGUUCUCAUUGAUGUGGACGUGUGAUGAAAAUUGUUUUGUUUGCAGAGAAGCAUCCACCUGCUGAACUCCAGGGCCUGGUUGAACUUUUUUUGUUCAAAGUGUUAUCUGAUUGGUCAGAAGUUCAUUGCUGUUCUUUAUGCAGAAAUGCGCUGAGACGGAUGAAGUAUGUUGGGGCCUUCGUGGUCUGGUAAUGUGACAAUCUGGAAGCAGAGUGGGAGCUGUGUCCACUUUUGCAUCCCUUAUAGCAAGACUGUGAUUCAAACUAAAAACAAAGUCCCGCCACUGCUGCUGUGUGAGUUGAGGCUUACUAAACACUUUUGCAACUGAUGAGAGCAUACUGGCUGCUGUUGGUGCUCUGUGGUGCCUCUUGACUUCCACUGCUCCUGCACAGCCUUCGCUGGUUCUUUCUCAAGGCAUAAGAUUCAACUUCAGACAAGAGCCAUCCAUGUCAGUGUCCGACCAUCCCACUCGCUCCUGAUCCUCUCGUUUGUUUGUCGUGUUUGCUGAUGACAUCCAGUUGGGAUGAGUCUUCUCGUCGUAAAGGUGUGUGCGUGCCUGAACCCCCUUGUGAACGUUGACAUGUGUGUUUUUUGUGGAUUUUUUUGAGCGUGGUUGCAUCAUGCCGUGGUGCGUCUCGUGUUGCUUGUGUUCUGAGCCGAGGGGUGGUGAUGUCCAGUCUUUCAGAAACCGGGCGAGAACAGGGGUGCACAGUGGAUCCCGACGGUCAUGAAACGGGGUUUGAAAACCUUUCUCACAGACUGGAACCCUGAGCCAUGCUGCAUGUGACCUGUCAUCACUCAACAUCGCAGUCUGGGUGUCUCUGCUGGAGUACCGGAAGAGAAAGCAAGGAAGCAGCAGCAGAGCAUGUGAACCAGCAGCCAGGAUCGCCGCCCCCAG